rnacentral:rRNA from 1 species
ACUGACUAUUAGACUACCCUGUAGUCCGAGGGUAGUAAACGCUGCAGACUUGGUGUUGGAAGUCCUUUGGGGGGCAUUCAGUGCCGGAGAGAAGUUGUUAAGUCUGCUACUUGGGAGUACGUCCGCAAGGAUGAAACUUAAAGGAAUUGGCGGGGGAGCACCGCAACGGGAGGAGCGUGCGGUUUAAUUGGAUUCAACACCGUAAAACUCACCAGGGAAGACUGUUACAUGAAAGCCGAGAUGAAGACUCUGCUAGAUUUUCAG